ACAUUGUCAUCAGUCGGUGGAGC
rnacentral:siRNA from 1 species